UACGUAGGGAGCAAGCGUUGUCCGGAAUCAUUGGGCGUAAAGCGCGCGUAGGCGGCCCUGUAAGUCCGUUGUGAAAGUCAAGGGCUCAACCCUUGAAUGCCGGCCGAUACUGUGAGGCUAGAGUCCGGAAGAGGCGAGUGGAAUUCCUGGUGUAGCGGUGAAAUGCGCAGAUAUCAGGAGGAACACCGAUGGCGAAGGCAGCUCGCUGGGACGGUACUGACGCUGAGACGCGAAAGCGUGGGGAGCGAACAGG
rnacentral:rRNA from 1 species